rnacentral:rRNA from 1 species
GAUUUCUGGUAUGAUGCCCCUGAUCCGCCUCUUCGGAGUGUGAGUGUCGGUGUGGCGUCUACCAUCUUUGUAGUUGCCUUGUCCAUUUCUCGGACCCUUUACUGGUGUUCGGGGGUGGGUUAUACACGGGUGCUACAUAUUUUACUUUGAAAAAAUUAGAGUGUUUAAAGCAGGCUUUUGCUAUGAAUACAUUAGCAUGGAAUAAUAAUAUAGGACUUCGGUUCUAUUUUGUUGGUUUCUAGUACUGAAGUAAUGAUUGAUAGGGAUAGUUGGGGGUGCUAGUAUUCAGCGGCCAGAGGUGAAAUUCUUGGAUUCGCUGAAGACUAACUUAUGCGAAAGCAUU